rnacentral:lncRNA from 1 species
GGUAGUAUUUGGAUUUGGGUUAUUAAGCUGUUAAGUAGCUUUUGUUUGAUCACAGUUAAUGAAAAAAUUACUCUCUACUCAGUAAGCAAAAAAUAGCAUAGGAUUUUAUGUAGUCACCACAGAUUUAUGCUUCUGUCAAUGUUUUUACAGAAACUGAACCAGAGAGUGCAGCUAUUUUCCAGGCUUGAAAGCUAUCUAUUCUAUGCCUUUUGAAAAGUAAUUCAUUAAAUAUUAAAUUAGAUUUUUAUUUCUUCCCACACACUCUAUAAUAUUCAUUGAGGAAAUGUGUCAUAUGUUAGUAGUAUGCUGUAUAUUUAGUUGAACUGUACUUGAUAGUCUCUUUUCUGGAAAUCAAUCUUAGAGAUGAGACUAAUGGAUAAAGUUACCAAAAAUAUAUUAGAGGUGGGAUGUAACUAUAAUGGGCAAGGCCCUGGAAUGAAUUCCUAGCAUUUAAAAUAAAGAACAAGUGUAUCUCAUAGACAUUUCUCAGAAAUCCACCGGUUUUAAUUAUAAAUGCCUAAUGUCAUCAUUGAUACUAAAAACAAUAGCUGCCAUUUGUUGAUUUGUUUAUUAUAUUGCUAUGAACUACUGCUUUAAGUGUAUCUUAUAUCAUCUUGUUAGCAUUCCAUGAAGUUUAUUUAGAGCUCCUUAAUAUUAAGAAACUUAGCCAGGGGGCUAUAGAGAUGGCUAAGCAAUUAAGAGCAUAGGUUGUUCUUCUAGAGGACCCAGGUUCAAUUCCCAGCACUCACAUGGCAGCUCACAACUAUCUGUAACUCCAGUUCUAUCAGAUCUAACAUCUUCACACAGACACACAUGCAAGCAAAACACCAGUGCACCUAAACACAAAUCAGGAGGCAGUGUGUGGGAGGACUAAACCAGGCUUGAUGGUGCACUUGAGGCAGACACAGGCAGAUAUCUGAGUUCUAGAACAUCUAGGGCUUCACAGAGAAACCCUGUCUUGAAAAGAAAAGGAGGAAAAAUUAAGCAGUGCUGUGCCACAUUGAUAAAGGUUUAUUAAUGAACAUUUGUUUGACAAUGAGGUCCAUGUUCUUAACCGCUAUAUUAAUACUCCAAAGUACUGACUGAAUAUUCAUCGGCUCAUAAUACAUGAUGAUACAUGUUGAGAUGGAAGAAAAGACUGUCUUUUGUAGCACACUUCACCCUUGUAAUCACUUGUUGCACAUUUUCUUGACAAUAAGCUCUGCUUACUUUGGGACUUCCCACUCUUCUAUUUUCACAGUCCCCUGUGGUAAAAAUAUAUCAUUCUUUUAUUAUGCUUACAUAUCUCCACUGAAUAGUUAGACUGUUAACUCCAUGUGAGAGUGGCUUCUGCACAUGUCUUAAAACUCUUGGACCAACUUAACUCUGGUUCUACUACAUAGUUAGAGCUUACUAACUAUGAGGAGAGGAAAUUGGCAAUCCUGAUAGAAUAUAUUUACUAUUAAUGUGUGUCUUCUUCACAUAAGUUUGGGAACAUACUAUGCAGAAUCUUUUGGUUUUGUUUGUUCGUUUGUUUGUUCGUUUCCCUGUGAGCAUUCUCUCAGAUCAUUCUUUGGUUUUCUCAGAUGUGUAUUAAAGCUUUUGUGAAGAUCUGUGAGUAUCUCUCCUAUGAACAAAAAGUUUACCUGGGAAAAUUAAAAUAGCAAAAAGUAACAAUAAGCAUAAAAUAGGCAUAUGUGCCUCCUUGUUGCUAAAAUGUGUGUUCAAGUCAUGUUUAGCAUUAUUCUUGGAACAGAUCAGUCGAACGGUGUAGAAAUUCCAGAAGCAAUAGAGUGCAUAUGAAAAAACCUGUCUCAAAAAAAAAAAAAAAAAAAAAAAGAAAGAAAAACCUUAGUAUUUGGUAUUAGUAGCAUUAAAAAAUGGUGAGAAAUUGAUAGACUCCUUAUAGUUAAACAAUGCUAGGAAGACUUAUUGACCACUUUGAAGUAAAGUAUAAUCUCUGUCAUCUUAAAUAAAACUUGACUGUAAGUGGAUACUAUAAGAAUGUAUGUGAGAGUGAAUGGUUUGCCGAGAAAGAGGGAAGCGUUAACUUAGCCAAAGAGAAGCAAAGGCUUGUGCUCACCUCUAGCAUAGACCAGUGAUAGUUUCCUAAGUAAAAUGGCAAUGCCUCAAGACUGUGGUGACGAAAACCCUGCAGGUGACUCGGAUGCUUUUUUUUUUUUUUAAUCUAAAAUUUACAAAUAUAAUAUACAAUUUUAACGAUUGAAAGCCAAACACAAAGAUUGCAAAAGAGUUAUCUCUUAAAUAAGUGUUAAUCGUAAAAUUUUAAAAUAGAAAACAUAAUGUCCUAGGCAUGUGUAUUGGAAUGCUCUAGAGGAGCAGAGCCAACUGAAUAAAUAUAUAUUCAUAUAAAAAGGGAUUUACCUGAUUUAUAUCAGAUGGGCUGGGGAAUCCUACAAUGGCUAUCAGCACACUGGAAAGGCUGAGAACCCAGAAGCUGCUUAGUCAUACCACGAGGUGCCUCAGCAGUCCUGGUAUAGCACUGAAGGCCUAGUGGAAUCCUGGAGAGUCACUGGUCUGUAGUCAUAUUGGAAGGCCAAAGGUCGGAUGCUUUUAGAGUCAUCAGAUAAGAGGCAUUUGAAUCAUCUGAAAAUGUUAGGAGGCUAGAAGUAUUAGG